rnacentral:rRNA from 1 species
UACGGGGGGGGCAAGCGUUGUUCGGAAUUACUGGGCGUAAAGGGUUUGUAGGUGGCUUGCUAAGUCAGACGUGAAAUCCCUCAGCUUAACUGGGGAACUGCGUCUGAGACUGGCAAGCUUGAGUGCAGGAGAGGAACGCGGAAUUCCAGGUGUAGCGGUGAAAUGCGUAGAUAUCUGGAGGAACACCGGUGGCGAAGGCGGCGUUCUGGACUGUAACUAACACUGAUGAACGAAAGCCAGGGGAGCAAACGGG